rnacentral:rRNA from 1 species
UGAAGAAUAUUGGUCAAUGGGCGAGAGCCUGAACCAGCCAAGUAGCGUGCAGGAUGACGGCCCUAUGGGUUGUAAACUGCUUUUAUAUGGGAAUAAAGUGAGGGACGUGUCCCUUAUUGCAUGUACCAUACGAAUAAGGACCGGCUAAUUCCGUGCCAGCAGCCGCGGUAAUACGGAAGGUUCGGGCGUUAUCCGGAUUUAUUGGGUUUAAAGGGAGCGUAGGCCGUUUGGUAAGCGUGUUGUGAAAUGUAGGAGCUCAACUUCUAGAUUGCAGCGCGAACUGUCAGACUUGAGUGCGCACAACGUAGGCGGAAUUCAUGGUGUAGCGGUGAAAUGCUUAGAUAUCAUGAAGAACUCCGAUUGCGAAGGCAGCUUACGGGAGCGCAACUGACGCUGAAGCUCGAAGGUGCGGGUAUCGAACAGG